AGAACGAACGCUGGCGGCGUGGAUAAGACAUGCAAGUCGAACGCGAUUUAUCAGAUUAGCAAUAAUUUGGUGAAUUGAGUGGCGAAAGGGUGCGUAACACGUGGGAAUUUACCAAGAAGUGGGGAAUAGCUCGACGAAAGUCGAAUUAAUACCGCAUAUGAUCGAAAGAUCAAAGCCGGGGACCGCAAGGCCUGGCGCUUUUUGAGAAGCCCGCGGCCCAUCAGCUAGUUGGCGGGGUAACGGCCCACCAAGGCUAUGACGGGUAGCUGGUCUGAGAGGACGACCAGCCACACUGGAACUGAGACACGGUCCAGACACCUACGGGUGGCAGCAGUCGAGAAUUUUUUCACAAUGGAC
rnacentral:rRNA from 1 species